rnacentral:rRNA from 1 species
GACGAACGCUGGCGGCGUGCUUAACACAUGCAAGUCGAACGAUGAAGCCGGAGCUUGCUCCGGUGGAUUAGUGGCGAACGGGUGAGUAACACGUGAGCAAUCUGCCCUUGACUCUGGGAUAACUGCGGGAAACUGUAGCUAAUACCGGAUACGACACCUUGGGGCAUCCCAGGGUGUGGAAAGAAUUUCGGUCAAGGAUGAGCUCGCGGCCUAUCAGCUAGUUGGUGAGGUGAUGGCUCACCAAGGCGACGACGGGUAGCCGGCCUGAGAGGGUGGCCGGCCACACUGGAACUGAGCCACGGUCCAGACUACUACGGUAGGCAGCAGUGGGGAAUAUUGCACAAUGGGCGAAAGCAUGAUGCAGCAACGCCGCGUGAGGGAUGAAGGCCUUCGGGUUGUAAACCUCUUUUAGCAGGGAAGAAGCGAAAGUGACGGUACCUGCAGAAAAAGCACCGGCUAACUACGUGCCAGCCGCCGCAGUAA